rnacentral:rRNA from 1 species
UACGUAGGGGCCAAGCGUUGUCCGGAUUUAUUGGGCGUAAAGAGCUCGUAGGUGGUUCGGUAAGUCGGGUGUGAAAACUCUGGGCUCAACUCAGAGACGCCACCCGAUACUGCUGUGACUCGAGUCUGGUAGGGGAGUGUGGAAUUCCCAGUGUAGCGGUGAAAUGCGCAGAUAUUGGGAGGAACACCAGUGGCGAAGGCGGCACUCUGGGACGGUACUGACGCUGAGACGCGAAAGCGUGGGGAGCAAACAGG